rnacentral:rRNA from 1 species
GAUGGACGCUGGCGGCGUGCCUAAUACAUGCAAGUCGAGCGAACAGACGAGGAGCUUGCUCCUCUGACGUUAGCGGCGGACGGGUGAGUAACACGUGGAUAACCUACCUAUAAGACUGGGAUAACUUCGGGAAACCGGAGCUAAUACCGGAUAACAUGUUGAACCGCAUGGUUCAACAGUGAAAGACGGUCUUGCUGUCACUUAUAGAUGGAUCCGCGCCGCAUUAGCUAGUUGGUAAGGUAACGGCUUACCAAGGCAACGAUGCGUAGCCGACCUGAGAGGGUGAUCGGCCACACUGGAACUGAGACACGGUCCAGACUCCUACGGGAGGCAGCAGUAGGGAAUAUUCGGCAAUGGGCGAAAGCCUGACGGAGCAACGCCGCGUGAGUGAAGAAGGUCUUCGGAUCGUAAAACUCUGUUAUUAGGGAAGAACAAAUGUGUAAGUAACUAUGCACGUCUUGACGGUACCUAAUCAGAAAGCCACGGCUAACUACGUG